rnacentral:rRNA from 1 species
UACGGGGGGGCAAGCGUUGUUCGGAAUUACUGGGCGUAAAGGGCUCGUAGGCGGCCAACUCAGUCAGACGUGAAAUCCCUCGGCUUAACCGGGGAACUGCGUCUGAUACUGGAUGGCUAGAGGUUGGGAGAGGGAUGCGGAAUUCCAGGUGUAGCGGUGAAAUGCGUAGAUAUCUGGAGGAACACCGGUGGCGAAGGCGGCAUCCUGGACCAAUUCUGACGCUGAGGAGCGAAAGCCAGGGGAGCAAACGGG